CAGUCGCCGCGGUAAUACAGAGGGUGCGAGCGUUAAUCGGAUUUACUGGGCGUAAAGCGUGCGUAGGCGGCUUUUUAAGUCGGAUGUGAAAUCCCUGAGCUUAACUUAGGAAUUGCAUUCGAUACUGGGAAGCUAGAGUAUGGGAGAGGAUGGUAGAAUUCCAGGUGUAGCGGUGAAAUGCGUAGAGAUCUGGAGGAAUACCGAUGGCGAAGGCAGCCAUCUGGCCUAAUACUGACGCUGAGGUACGAAAGCAUGGGGAGCAAAUGGGAUUAGAUACCCGUGUAGUCCCUGUCUCUUAUAC
rnacentral:rRNA from 1 species